AUCAUGGAGAGUUUGAUCCUGGCUCAGGACGAACGCUGGCGGCGUGCUUAACACAUGCAAGUCGAACGAGAGCGUAGAGAAAGCUUGCUUUUUCUACAAUCUAGUGGCAAACGGGUGAGUAACGCGUAAACAACCUGCCCUACGGAUGGGGACAACAGCUGGAAACGGCUGCUAAUACCGAAUACGUUCCGAAAGUCGCAUGACUGUCGGAAGAAAGGAUGGCCUCUAUUUAUAAGCUAUCGCCGGAGGAGGGGUUUGCGUCUGAUUAGCUAGUUGGAGGGGUAACGGCCCACCAAGGCGACGAGCAGUAGCCGGUCUGAGAGGAUGAACGGCCACAU
rnacentral:rRNA from 1 species